AUUGAACGCUGGCGGCAUGCUUUACACAUGCAAGUCGAACGGCAGCGCGGGCUUCGGCCUGGCGGCGAGUGGCGAACGGGUGAGUAAUGCAUCGGAACGUGCCCAGUAGUGGGGGAUAGCCCGGCGAAAGCCGGAUUAAUACCGCAUACGACCUGAGGGUGAAAGCGGGGGACCGAAAGGCCUCGCGCUAUUGGAGCGGCCGAUGUCGGAUUAGCUAGUUGGUGGGGUAAAGGCUUACCAAGGCGACAAUCCGUAGCUGGUCUGAGAGGACGACCAGCCACACUGGGACUGAGACACGGCCCAGACUCCUACGGGAGGCAGCAGUGGGGAAUUUUGGACAAUGGGGGCAACCCUGAUCCAGCCAUGCCGCGUGCGGGAAGAAGGCCUUCGGGUUGUAAACCGCUUUUGUUCGGGAAGAAAUCCUCUGGGCUAAUACCCCGGGGGGAUGACGGUACCGGAAGAAUAAGCACCGGCUAACUACGU
rnacentral:rRNA from 1 species